rnacentral:rRNA from 1 species
GAUGAACGCUAGCUACAGGCUUAACACAUGCAAGUCGAGGGGAAACGAUGAGAGAGCUUGCUCUCUUAGGCGUCGACCGGCGCACGGGUGAGUAACGCGUAUCCAACCUACCCAUUACAGGGGGAUAACCUUGCGAAAGUAAGACUAAUACCCCAUGGCAUUUUAUGGUGGCAUCAUUAUAGGAUUAAAGAUUUAUUGGUAAUGGAUGGGGAUGCGUCUGAUUAGCUUGUUGGCGGGGUAACGGCCCACCAAGGCAACGAUCAGUAGGGGUUCUGAGAGGAAGGUCCCCCACAUUGGAACUGAGACACGGUCCAAACUCCUACGGGAGGCAGCAGUGAGGAAUAGUGGUCAAUGGGCGAGAGCUUGAACCAGCCAAGUAGCGUGCAGGAUGACGGCCCUAUGGGUUGUAAACUGCUUUUAGAGGGGAAUAAAGUGAGCUACGUGUAGUUUAUUGCAUGUACCCUAUGAAUAAGGACCGGCUAAUUCCGUG